ACGGAAGGCAGCAGUGGGGGAUAUUGCACAAUGGAGGAAACUCUGAUGCAGCAACGCCGCGUGAGUGAAGAAGUAUUUCGGUAUGUAAAGCUCUAUCAGCAGGGAAGAAAAUGACGGUACCUGACUAAGAAGCCCCGGCUAACUACGUGCCAGCAGCCGCGGUAAUACGUAGGGGGCAAGCGUUAUCCGGAUUUACUGGGUGUAAAGGGAGCGUAGGUGGCAAUGUAAGUCAGAAGUGAAAACUCUGGGCUUAACUUAGGGAUUGCUUUUGAAACUAUGUAGCUAGAGUGCUGGAGGGGUAAGCGGAAUUCCUAGUGUAGCGGUGAAAUGCGUAGAUAUUAGGAAGAACACCGGUGGCGAAGGCGGCUUACUGGACAGUUACUGACACUGAGGCUCGAAAGCGUGGGGAGCAAACAGGAUUAGAUACC
rnacentral:rRNA from 1 species